CUGAAACAGGUAGGUGACACCUUUUGGAACCGGAAUCAAUCAUUAUUCUUGCGUGGGUUUUCCAUUUUCCCUGAAGCAUCGCACCAGCUUUUGCGCGAUGCCUCGGCUUACCAUUUUGCAUCUAUCUUAAGGAAUUAGGAGGAUUCAGAGGAGGGUUUCUACGGGCCUCUGCUCACUUUUCACCUCUAGGGAGACUCAAGUUUCCAAGCAUUCUUUCUGCAAAGCACCUGCCUUUGCUACCUUAUUGCCGUAUUACCAGCCAUCAUUUUGAUUCAUCUUGAAUACUACAGAUUAAAAAAUAUUCCCUGCAUAAUGGCUUUGUGCAAAAACAAGGGAAAGAAAACAGAAAGAAGAAAGGAAAAUGUCCUAUCAGAAAGUGGUCCUCCAUGUUUGCAGAAAACCCAGGACCCACCGGGCCCUGGUGGGAGCGGGAAGCCGCCUGCCCUGGGAGAGGGUGCCCAUCGGUCAGGAUGCCCGGCUGUCUGGGCAGGCUUUGGUGUUGUGGUGGUUGCACGGCGGCUCGUCCUUCUGCCGCUCCUUCUCCAUCCAGGUUUCCAGCAGCUGCUGCUUGUCUUGCUCCUCCCGCAUGAACAGCUCCACCAUGAGCACCUUCUCCUUGUGGAUCUGCUGGCUGAUGUCCUUGGGG
ensembl:lncRNA ANO1-AS1 ANO1 antisense RNA 1